rnacentral:rRNA from 1 species
UACGUAGGGUCCGAGCGUUGUCCGGAAUUAUUGGGCGUAAAGAGCUCGUAGGCGGUUUGUCGCGUCUGCUGUGAAAUCCCGAGGCUCAACCUCGGGUCUGCAGUGGGUACGGGCAGACUGGAGUGCGGUAGGGGAGAAUGGAAUUCCUGGUGUAGCGGUGGAAUGCGCAGAUAUCAGGAGGAACACCAAUGGCGAAGGCAGCUCGCUGGGACGGUACUGACGCUGAGACGCGAAAGCGUGGGGAGCAAACAGG